GUGGGGAAUCUUCCGCAAUGGACGAAAGUCUGACGGAGCAACGCCGCGUGAACGAUGACGGCCUUCGGGUUGUAAAGUUCUGUUAUACGGGACGAAUGGUACGACGGCCAAUACCCGUCGUAAGUGACGGUACCGUAAGAGAAAGCCACGGCUAACUACGUGCCAGCAGCCGCGGUAAUACGUAGGUGGCAAGCGGUGUCCGGACUUAUUGGGCGUAAAGGGCGCGCAGGCGGCGUCGUAAGUCGGUCUUAAAAGUGCGGGGCUUAACCCCGUGAGGGGACCGAAACUGCGAUGCUAGAGUAUCGGAGAGGAAAGCGGAAUUCCUAGUGUAGCGGUGAAAUGCGUAGAUAUUAGGAGGAACACCAGUGGCGAAAGCGGCUUUCUGGACGACAACUGACGCUGAGGCGCGAAAGCCAGGGGAGCAAACGGGAUUAGAAACCCCGGUAGUCC
rnacentral:rRNA from 1 species